GACGAACGCUGGCGGCGUGCUUAACACAUGCAAGUCGAGCGGUAAGGCCCUUUCGGGGGUACACGAGCGGCGAACGGGUGAGUAACACGUGGGUGACCUGCCCCUCAGCUCUGGGGAUAAGCCCUGGGGAAACUGGGUCUAAUACCGGAUAUGACUCCAUGACGCAUGUUGGUGGGGUGGAAAGCCUUGUGCGGCUGAGGAUGGG
rnacentral:rRNA from 1 species